CUGGUUGAUCCUGCCAGAGGUUACUGCUAUCGAGAUUCGACUAAGCCAUGCGAGUCGAAUGUUCCUCGUGAACAUGGCGAACUGCUCAGUAACACGUGGACAACCUACCCUUGGGUUCGGCAUAAUCCUGGGAAACUGGGGAUAAUACCGGAUAGGUCACGGCUGCUGGAAUGCACUGUGGCUCAAAGCUCCGGCGCCCAAGGAUGGGUCUGCGGCCUAUCAGGGUUGUAGUGGGUGUAAUGUACCUACUAGCCUACGACGGGUACGGGUUGUGAGAGCAAGAGCCCGGAGAUGGAUUCUGAGACACGAAUCCAGGCCCUACGGGGUGCAGCAGGCGCGAAAACUUUACAAUGCGGGAAACCGUGAUAAGGGAAUCUCGAGUGCCAGCAUAUAAUGUUGGCUGUCCAGAUGCCUAAAAAGCAUCUGUUAGCAAGGGCCGGGCAAGACCGGUGCCAGCCGCCGCGGUAACACCGGCGGCCCGAGUGGUAACCGCUAUUAUUGGGUCUAAAGGGUCUGUAGCCGGCCAGGUAAGUCCCUUGGGAAAUCUGGCAGCUCAACUGUCAGGCUGCUAGGGGAUACUGUUUGGCUUGGGACCGGGAGAGGUGAGAGGUAGCUUGGGGGUAGGGGUGAAAUCUUGUGAUCCUCGGGGGACCACCAGUGGCGAAUGCGUCUCACCAGAACGGGUCCGACGGUCAGGGACGAAAGCUAGGGGCACGAACCAGAUUAGAUACCCGGGUAGUCCUAGCCGUAAACGAUGCUCGCUAGGUGUCAGUCACGGUGCGACCGUGAUUGGUGCCGUAGGGAAGCCGUGAAGCGAGCCACCUGGGAAGUAUGGCCGCAAGGCUGAAACUUAAAGGAAUUGGCGGGGGAGCACCAC
rnacentral:rRNA from 1 species